CCUACGGGUGGCUGCAGUGAGGAAUAUUGGUCAAUGGACGAGAGUCUGAACCAGCCAAGUAGCGUGAAGGAUGACUGCCCUAUGGGUUGUAAACUUCUUUUAUAUGGGAAUAAAACGUUCCACGUGUGGGAUUUUGUAUGUACCAUAUGAAUAAGGAUCGGCUAACUCCGUGCCAGCAGCCGCGGUAAUACGGAGGAUCCGAGCGUUUUCCGGAUUUAUUGGGUUUAAAGGGAGCGUAGGUGGAUUGUUAAGUCAGUUGUGAAAGUUUGCGGCUCAACCGUAAAAUUGCAGUUGAAACUGGCAGUCUUGAGGACAGUAGAGGUGGGCGGAAUUCGUGGUGUAGCGGUGAAAUGCUUAGAUAUCACGAAGAACUCCGAUUGCGAAGGCAGUUCACUGGACUGCAACUGACACUGAGGCUCGAAAGUGUGGGUAUCAAACAGGAUUAGAUACCCUGGUAGUC
rnacentral:rRNA from 1 species